rnacentral:lncRNA from 1 species
GCCGCAGGAGGAAGCCAGAAACCAGGGGAUGGGGCUGCAGUGAUUUAUGACUGCACAGAAACAGCAGGACACUAAUGUCUUUGGCUGGCCUGCUCGUCUGCCAGCCCAGGCAGAGAGCCUGCAUCUAAAGAACAGGGAUGAUUCUGAGCCGCUCAACCCUUGGGACUGAAUCAUCUCCCAGUUCUGCAGAUUUGGCCUGGAUUUUUAAAAUGGUGAUGAUUUGUAAUGCACAUUGGACGGGUGGAGAAAGGAAAUGAGGUGGAGAGGUUAGAGAGGCAGCCUGAAAUGUACCGGGAAGUUCCCAAGAUUUUGUGUCAGGGGCCCCGAAUCACUGACACCUACAACGCACAGGAGGACCAGCGGGGUUGGCUAAUCAGGGCUCGUUGCCACAGACCUGUGAUGCCCGGGCUGGAAUGGCUCAGGCCUGGCCUGCAGGAAGGGAGAGGAAGAGGAAUGACUUGGCCAACACUCCUAUCUCUCCACAGGUUUCCUAUUUAUUUCCGGAUAAAGUCUUCACUCCCUUGCCCAUCAUUCGUCAUUCGGGGCUUCUCAUGUUCUGGCUCCUGACUCCAUCCCCGGUCCCACUACCCAUCACUUAAGGCAACAAACACAUUGGAUUCUUCACCUAAUGAUAAAUAAAUGCUUCAGGGAGAAA